CCGCACGGUAAACGAUGGACACCCGCUGUCGGCGAUACACUGUCGGCGGCCAAGCGAAAGCGUUAAGUGUCCCACCUGGGGAGUACGCCGGCAACGGUGAAACUCAAAGGAAUUGACGGGGGCCCGCACAAGCGGAGGAACAUGUGGUUUAAUUCGAUGAUACGCGAGGAACCUUACCCGGGCUUAAAUUACGUACGAAUGGCGCGGAAACGCGCCAGCCGCAAGGCGUAUGUGAAGGUGCUGCAUGGUUGU
rnacentral:rRNA from 1 species